ensembl:lncRNA
GUUUUUCAUAGCCACCGUGCUUCUACACCUGCAUUGCUUGCUGUUUGGGGUUUUAGGCUGGGUUUCUGUACAGCACUUUGAGAUAUCAGCUGAUGUACGAAGGGCUAUAUAAAUAAAUUUGAUUUAAUUUGAGCUGCCGGUUGCUAGGUGAUGGCUGGUGGAUGGGGUAGCAGGUUGCUAGGUGAGGGGUGGUGGAUGGGAUAGCAGGUCUCUUGUGGAUGGGUGGUGGUUUCUAGGUGAGGGGUGGUAGAUGGUAUAUCAGGUUGCUAGGUGAGGGGUGGUGGAUGGGAUAGCAGGUCUCUAGGGGAUGGGUGGUGGUUGCUAGGUGAGGGGUGGUAGAUGGUAUAGCAGGUCUCUAGGGGAUGGGUGGUGGUUGCUAGGUGAGGGGUGGUAGAUGGUAUGGCAGCUUGCUAGCUGAGGGGUGGUGGAUGGGAUAGCAGGUCUCUAGGGGAUUGGUGGUGGUUGCUAGGUGAGGGGAGGUAGAUGGGAUAGCAGGUCUCUAGGUGAUGGGUGUUGGUUGCUAGGUGAGGGGUGGUGGAUGGGAUAGCAGGUUGCUAGGUGAUGGAUGG